rnacentral:rRNA from 1 species
AUUGAACGCUGGCGGCAGGCCUAACACAUGCAAGUCGAACGGUAGCACAGAGAGCUUGCUCUUGGGUGACGAGUGGCGGACGGGUGAGUAAUGUCUGGGAAACUGCCCGAUGGAGGGGGAUAACUACUGGAAACGGUAGCUAAUACCGCAUAACGUCGCAAGACCAAAGUGGGGGACCUUCGGGCAUCACACCAUCGGAUGUGCCCAGAUGGGAUUAGCUAGUAGGUGGGGUAAUGGCUCACCUAGGCGACGAUCCCUAGCUGGUCUGAGAGGAUGACCAGCCACACUGGAACUGAGACACGGUCCAGACUCCUACGGGAGGCAGCAGUGGGGAAUAUUGCACAAUGGGCGCAAGCCUGAUGCAGCCAUGCCGCGUGUAUGAAGAAGGCCUUCGGGUUGUAAAGUACUUUCAGCGAGGAGGAAGGCAUUAAGGUUAAUAACCUUAGUGAUUGACGUUACUCGCAGAAGAAGCACCGGCUAACUCCGUGCCAGCCGCCGCGGUAA